UACGUAGGGUGCGAGCGUUAAUCGGAAUUACUGGGCGUAAAGCGUGCGCAGGCGGUUUUGUAAGUCAGAUGUGAAAUCCCCGGGCUUAACCUGGGAACUGCGUUUGAAACUACAAGGCUAGAGUGUGGCAGAGGGGGGGUGGAAUUCCACGUGUAGCAGUGAAAUGCGUAGAGAUGUGGAGGAACACCGAUGGCGAAGGCAGCCCCCUGGGUUAACACUGACGCUCAGGCACGAAAGCGUGGGGAGCAAACAGG
rnacentral:rRNA from 1 species